CGCACGGGUGAGUAACACGUAUCCAACCUGCCGUCUACUCUUGGACAGCCUUCUGAAAGGAAGAUUAAUACAAGAUGGCAUCAUGAGUUCACAUGUUUACAUGAUUAAAGGUAUUCCGGUAGACGAUGGGGAUGCGUUCCAUUAGAUAGUAGGCGGGGUAACGGCCCACCUAGUCUUCGAUGGAUAGGGGUUCUGAGAGGAAGGUCCCCCACAUUGGAACUGAGACACGGUCCAA
rnacentral:rRNA from 1 species